AACGAACGCUGGCGGCAUGCCUAACACAUGCAAGUCGAACGAGACCUUCGGGUCUAGUGGCGCACGGGUGCGUAACGCGUGGGAACCUGCCCUUAGGUUCGGAAUAACUCCCCGAAAGGGGUGCUAAUACCGGAUAAUGUCUUCGGACCAAAGAUUUAUCGCCUUUGGAUGGACCCGCGUUGGAUUAGCUAGUUGGUAGGGUAAAAGCCUACCAAGGCGACGAUCCAUAGCUGGUCUGAGAGGAUGAUCAGCCACACUGGGACUGAGACACGGCCCAGACUCCUACGGGAGGCAGCAGUGGGGAAUAUUGGACAAUGGGGGAAAGCCUGAUCCAGCAAUGCCGCGUGAGUGAUGAAGGUCUUAGGGUUGUAAAGCUCUUUUAACCGGGAUGAUAAUGACAGUACCGGGAGAAUAAGCUCCGGCUAACUCCGUG
rnacentral:rRNA from 1 species